CGUCCACUGCAAACAAACCAACGCCUUGACCCCUGCGCGCUCCCUGCCCUGCGCCAAGAACCCAGCUUUUCUCCUCCCCGCCGCCGCCUCCAGCGCCAUGAAGCGCCUCUUCAGACGCCUCUCCCGCGUCGCCGCGGCCGACUCCUCCUCCGCGGCCGCCGCCACGGCGUACCGGCAGCUCCGCGCGCCGAAGCAGGCCGCGUCGGCGGCCGGCGGCGCCAAGGUGCCGCAGGGGCACGUGCCGGUGUGCGUCGGCGAGGAGGGCGGGCCCGUGGAGCGGUUCGCGGUGCGCGCGGACCUGCUGGGCCGGCCGGCCUUCGCGGCGCUGCUCCUCCGCGCCGCCCAGGAGUACGGGUACGGCCACCCCGGCGCGCUCCGCAUCCCCUGCCCCGUCGCCGACUUCCGCCGCCUCCUCGUCCGCCUCUCCGACGACCCCUACGCCGACGAGUGCUAGGCGCCGGCCUCCGCACCUUCUCGGCCCGCCGCUGGAGAACUCUGCCCCUCAUUCGCCCCCCGUCUGACAGAUUUACCCCCGGGCACUGGGCAGACCUGCAAUGUACAUACAGUGGCAGGCCGAAGAGGAGUCGCCGGAGCGAGGGUUAGGAUAGGGAUCUCCUAGCUUCGUAGUAACUUUUUUUUAUUACUGCCGAGCAUGAGCUGAAUGGGAAGAACUGUGGGUGUUCCUUUUUCACCCCCUCUGGUUCUAGGGAUUUCAGUGUGUGUGUGCGUGCGUGUGUGAGGGAGAGAGAGAGAGGUAGUAGUAGUAUGAGUUUCUGCUAGGGAUUUUGAGGUGUUCGGUGUUAACCAUAUGAGAUCCUGAGGCUAUCAUGCCAUAUUUUUACUGAGCUAGUAAUAUGAUCUUUUAGCACUACAUUGGUCUCCC
rnacentral:rRNA from 1 species